GCCGGCGUAGCUCAGGGGUAGAGCAACUGAUUCGUAAUCAGUAGGUCGGGUGUUCGAAUCACCCCGCCGGCACCA
rnacentral:tRNA from 1 species